UACGUAGGGCGCAAGCGUUAUCCGGAAUUAUUGGGCGUAAAGAGCUCGUAGGCGGUUUGUCGCGUCUGCCGUGAAAGUCCGGGGCUCAACUCCGGAUCUGCGGUGGGUACGGGCAGACUAGAGUGAUGUAGGGGAGACUGGAAUUCCUGGUGUAGCGGUGGAAUGCGCGGAUAUCAGGAGGAACACCGGUGGCGAAGGCGGGUCUCUGGGCAGUAACUGACGCUGAGGAGCGAAAGCGUGGGGAGCGAACAGG
rnacentral:rRNA from 1 species